rnacentral:rRNA from 1 species
AAGCCAGACUCCUACGGGAGGCAGCAGUGGGGAAUAUUGCACAAUGGGGGAAACCCUGAUGCAGCGACGCCGCGUGAGUGAAGAAGUAUUUCGGUAUGUAAAGCUCUAUCAGCAGGGAAGAAAAUGACGGUACCUGACUAAGAAGCCCCGGCUAACUACGUGCCAGCAGCCGCGGUAAUACGUAGGGGGCAAGCGUUAUCCGGAUUUACUGGGUGUAAAGGGAGCGUAGACGGCAUGGCAAGUCAGAUGUGAAAGCCCGGGGCUCAACCCCGGGACUGCAUUUGAAACUGUCAGGCUGGAGUGCAGGAGAGGUAAGUGGAAUUCCUAGUGUAGCGGUGAAAUGCGUAGAUAUUAGGAGGAACACCAGUGGCGAAGGCGGCUUACUGGACUGUAACUGACGUUGAGGCUCGAAAGCGUGGGGAGCAAACAGGAUUAGAUACCCCUGUAC